rnacentral:tRNA from 1 species
GGCCCUGUCGUCUAGUGGCCUAGGACACAGCCCUUUCACGGCUGCGACACGGGUUCGAAUCCCGUCAGGGUCA